CGCGCAGACGCUUGCGAAAAGUACUAGCUACAAAAUUGCCUGCUGCUGUAUACAUAGCGCGCGUGUGUGUAUGUUGCUAACCUAGCUAGUUAGCUAGUCAUCAAUAAAGUUCCCAAUGUUACAACAUGGCAGACGGCUGGAGCACCGACACCGGAGAGGCUGCCUAUCGUUCCCGGGAUGCUGUCAAAAACCUUACAAUUAAGAUCCGUAUUCAGAGAGUCACCUCCACAGCAGCCCUCUCCCAACACCUUCAGCAGCAGGUUUGGACUCAACAGGAGAGGGGAGGCAUUGAGCUGGACACCCUCAACUCACAGGCUCAAUCAGGUGUUAACACUGUUUUGAAACAGAAAGAUGUCAGAUGCUUCUUAGUUGAGUAGAUGUCAUUUUCGUGGUGACUAGAUAUGGACCACAACAUCUUGGUUUUGUUUCAGCCAGAAAUGAUGAGGAGUUAGUGGUAGGCUGGCAGGAGAAGCUGUUCAGUCAGUGUCCUUAUAACAAAUAAUAAUUGACUGUUUAGGAUAGUUUGAUGUUGCAUAGUAAGGUGUGUGUGUGUGUGUGCACAAUAUGAAGUGGGUUUGUUCCAGAGUGAGUCAGUAUGCCAGACUCCGCUGGAGAGACAAUACCACACAGAGAUCAUGGCUCAGGAGCGGACCAGGGGCAGAUGGAACUGCAGGAUUUUCACCUACACCGAUUCUGACUGCUACACCAAUUGGGAAGGGGUGGUUUUCAACAGACUCUCCAUUUCUGUAACGGUUCUGUAACCAAAGACGCUGGGAGACAGGAAGCAAGUAUAGGGGGAGGAUUUAUUAAUAAAUAGACAUGAAACUAGAGACGAACAGAGUCUGGACAAGAGAAACAAAACAACAUUGAUGCAGACAUGGGAAUGAAACUGAGGAAGUGACAGAUAUAGGGGAGGUAAUCAAUGACGUGAUGGAGUCCAGGUGAGUCCGAUGAAGCGCUGGUGCGCGUAAAAAUGGCGACAGGUGUGCGUAAUGAUGAGCAGCCUGGCGACCUCGAGCGCCACAAAGCAUUUACCUAUUUUCUGUCCAAAAGAAACGUUAGUGUUUUAAAGCUGUUUUUGAUGUACUCACUACAGCAUUCCCAGAGUAUGGUGACGCAGGUCAAGUCCAAUCCUACCUUACUGGCACAUAGAAUGGCCAAUGUCAGACACAGACGACAGGACAGACACCCAGUGUAGGUCCCUGUUACUCACCAAAGUGAAUUAUUAUUAAAGUGAAUGUAAUUGAAGCAGCAUUGAUGCGUCGUGCUGCUUUGAAGACAAACAGUGUACCGGUAUGUUCACAUUACACCAUACCCUUGUAUGCAAAAUGUGUUUGUGGUAUUCUGUUGGUCUGCAGUGACAGCACUAUCCCCAAGUCCAGGCUGAUUACCUGGGACCCCUCGGAGGACUUUGUGAAGACCAGCCACAUGGUCAACACACCUGUACAGACCAUGCACAUCAUGGGGGACCUGGGACCAGCAGGCAAACUUGGCCAAAAGGAGAAGGAAUGCUUGUUGUGCACGAUAAGAGCAGAUGGAAAUGGAGUGGUUACCAUCAAACCAGACUUCAACAAAGGCAAGGAGCCCUACAGGCCAGUGACCCGCACCUGCUGAAGUCAAAAUGUUUUACCCCUAGCUCAAGUUGAGACGGAGGGGGAGAAGAGGGAGGUAUGGCGUCAGACCAGAGGAGACGGAACAGCAACAGUGCAUAUAUAGACCGUUAUGUACGUCAUAAAGACUACCUCAACAGCUUGGUUGGCCAGGACUGAAAUGAUAUCAGCAAUCAAUCAACAAGACUAAUGAAAUGGGGAAAAUUAAGACAUUAGAACUGCUAAAGUUUUCCCUAGAUACAGAUCUAGGAUCAGCUUCCCCUCCCCAAACCUAACAAGGACCAUUCGCGGGGGGAAUGCAAACCUGAUCCAAAGCCAGGGUCUAUUUGGGGAACUUGUCCCCUCCCCCACAACACGACACGUGGAUGCGGCUUCCUCAGUUCACCAUGCACAUAAAGAAAACAGCAGUGUAUUUCAGCUGCAAGCCUGGGAAAGAACUGAGAAAACGUACUAGAGAGUCAAAAGAGUCAAGACAGACACCAGAAAGAGGCCCAAGAAGACUUGGACGCAGGAACAGAGGACAGCGAGGGAUGUUCAGAACUCACUCAGUCCGGUUUGGAGAAUGACUUCUCAACCCAAGACUAAGAGCAGCUGUAAGAAAGCAUCAGUUUGGAAGAAUUUGGGAAAAUGUAAAGUGCAAAAGAAGGUUCCCGGCAAAGAGGAUCGACUGUUAUGGGUCAGAGCCAGCUCUCACAAACAGAACAUGGAAAGACAUGAAAACCUGGUGCACAACAAAAUGCAAACAGAAAAGGCUCUCCGCAGCCGGUAAAAGGCUAGCAUGCCAUGAAGCUGAAGUUCACACAGGUGAAUGGGAGAGUUGUAAAAGACAAAAAGCUUUUUAGACAUAGCUCCAAAAUGCAGGUGCUAGUUCUGUUUUGUGGUGGAAAACUUAGUGUGUCGAGCAUAAUUCUUCAACCCUGUUACCAAUAGAUAAGGCUAGACGUUUUUUAGAAAUUUCAUUUUUUGUCUGAAACGUCCAAUUCAAAAGCUUCCCUUCCCCUUGUCACAAGGAAUUUAUGCAUGAUUUAAUAUGAAACCCUGCCUCCCGAGUGGCGCAGUGGUCUUAGGCACUGCAUCGCAUUUGCUAGCUGUGCCGCUAUAGAUCCUGGUUCGAGUCCAGGCUCUGUCGCAGCCGGCUGCGACCCGGAGACCCAUGGGUUGGCGCACAAUUGUCCCAGCGUCGUCCUGGUUAGGGGAGGGUUUGUCUGGCAGGGAUGUCCUUGUCCCAUUGCGCUCUAGCAACUCCUGUGGCGGGCCGGGCGCAUGCAUGCUGACACGGUCGCCAGGUGUACGGUGUUUCCUCCGACACAUUGGUGUGGCUGGCUUCCGGGUUUAGUGGGCAUUGUGUCAGGAAGCAGUGCAGCUUGGCAGGGUCGUGUUUCGGAGGACGCCUGGCUCUCUACCUUCGCCUCUCCCGAGACCGUAGGGAGUGUGCAGCAAUGAGACAAGACUGUAACUACCAAUUGGAUACCACGAAAAUUGGGGAGAUAAAGGGGUUAAAAUAAAAAAUAAAUAAAAAUAUAUAUAACAUGACCAUAUAUAACAUUUGGUCAGCCUUUACUUAAUAGGCACUUAUUGUAGUCAUUUUUAAAUUUAAUCUAUUGAUUAAAUAACCGUUUUCUA